CCUAGGAUGCAACUUACAUGAGGAAAAAUGUUCCUGUGAUUUUGGGUAUCAACAAAAACCCUCCCCGUGAACCUCUGAGUUUGGUGAAAAGAGAAAAUUUCCAUGGAAAUAAAUAAGAGGCAUUAUUUUUGGAGCUACUUACAUAUGUAAUGUGUGAUGAGAGAGUAUGCUAGAGGUAACCAUCCAUCAGUUCUUCUAGAGGUGAAGUUCUGUCUGAAGAGGACUACAGGGAUAAAACUGAAGGUGAACAGUGCUGUGGAAGUGUCACGGUGACCACUGACAGCAUCAAAUUUAGGCCCACUGAUUUCUGAUCGCUUUGACAAAUAUGGAGUGAAGAAAUACAACAAUUUUUGUCUCUUAAAAUACUUCAGAUGAUGGAAUGCUGGGUUGUCAGAAACGUCAAUUGUGAAAAUCAUUCUUACAAGAAGUCAGUCAGAAGGGGCUCACUGCUGCAAUGAAUGGCGCUUUCUAGGGAAUGCAGCUGUUCAAUCCUGGAAUUAAUAUGUAAAUGAUCUUCUGUUAUUGAAGUAAGGGAAGAAGAUGGAAUGUAGCUGUAUUUUCUCUAAUCAACAUACUCUCCUUUUCAUUGGGAACUACAACAAAGCUGACUGUCAGCCACACAAAUAAUCGAAUAUUUAUUUUUGCAGAAAUAAAAACAUCCAGAAGGAUGCUUUUUUUUGAAAGCUUUUACUGACCAACCCAAACAUUAUUUUGGUUCAGUGAAAAUACAUGUAUUUAGAACUAUUCACACACAAAUCUCUCAUGCUUUUUCAAUAAAAAAAUAGAACAAAUGAAGUACGUUGGCAGAAUGACAAUUUCAGCUGCAAAAAUGUAGUAGUACAGAACUGCAAAUGUAAUUACCACUGGUUUUUGAGGAAAUGCAAACUCAUAUAUUAGAAUCAUCUCUACUGUAAUUGUCAAGUUCUGUCCUCAGUUUCACAAACAAGAGUUUCCCACAAUCAGCUGAAUUCUGAUUUGUGAUUGUUUCUCCGCAGGAAAGUUGAAUAAAAAUUCUACCUAGAGUAGAAAACAUUUCAGGACUGCAAAUAGCAGAGGUCACCAAAUGAGCUAUAGAGACUGCAUCAAUAAUUCCCAACAGUGCAUUAGUGGAGCAGAGAAUAUGAUACAGGUUGUUAUUCUGAAGAUUGCUUUUGAUAUAGCAUAAUAUAUGAUUAGACUGAAAAUACAUAUUCUGAAACUAGUGUAUGAAAUGCCUUGUGAGCCUCUUUACUGAUGUUUCAUUUAGUUUCUUCCUUCUUAGCCUAGUGUUCACAUCUUUACAUUCAGUGGAAAUUUCUUUGGACAGGUUGAGGCAACAGUAAAAUAAACCUUCAGCAAAAAAAAAUGAAAACAAGAAAACAAGAAAAAAGAACAACAACAAAAGAAAACAGGACAGAUUUAAAGCUAAAAGCAAGAUACUGAAGUCAAAAACAGGAACUUGAAGUCAAUACAGAAAGCUAUUGGAAAACAAUGUAAAGAUUGAGGCUGAAAUUGCUGGCUGGGAUCACCUAAGCCAACUUAAUCAAUACCUUGGCUGCUGAGUUGGGAAUAAACAGAACUGCUUGUAUAUGAACAAAAAUGUGAUAACAGAACUUCAACUUCUAAGAUGUGUAAGUUAUGUAAACUUCCAAUUGAGACAAUGUGUUAACAGUGCAAAUUAUCCAAGCCCCAAAUAGCUAAUCAGAUUACUGAGCCUGAUCUACAAACAGCAUUUUGACCUUUCAGAACAAUUAAAGGACAAAGCUAGUUCUGCAGCAGUUAGGACACCCUUGAGCUGUAAUGAUAAAAAAAUAUCUGACAUAUCAGUCAGCAUGCUGUGCGUGGUAUGUGUCAAAUUAUGCAAGACUCAGCAGACAAAUCUUCUUGGAGUUAAAAUUCCUGUCAUUGAUUAUGUCCUUUUAGAAGUCUUCUACUAAGAAUUUUAGGUGAUGACGUAUAAAAUUCUGUUUUUUUCCUUGUAGAAUAGUUGUAUAUGCAACAAUAUGCGUGUGUCUCUACCUUACAUGCAAGUUGGUGGCAGUAGGGGUGGUGAUAAUGCUUCACAUGUUAAAUCUUUCAUGACAAAGCUGUUUAAUGUUUAAGACCAUUUAGAGGGCAGAAAAAUCCUUCAGAAAAGGUAUAUGCUCACCAUGGUAUCUUUCCUUUCUUACUCCCCUGCCUUUCCCAGUCAGCUGCGUUAGCACAUAGCAGCAGCAGUCAGCACCCACAGAACUUUUUCUCCUAUUAGCUCCCUGGAAGCUGUUCCUGCCCUUUGAUCCCAGAACACGUGAUCUGUUAGUUUUAUAGGUAGAUGAGGUAAAGGAAGGCUUGGCAUAUGGCUCUGGUGUGAAGUGCUGCGGACAGAGGAGACCCUGCAGCCCUGUCCAGUCCUUGCUAGAGAGAAGAUCCUGUGCGUGCAGUGCUAUUUGGGCUGAGCCAGGCCAUAUCUCUUCAGGUGAUUCCAAGCCAGAUGUAAGACUCAUGCUGAGAACACAGUGUUUCUGUCUAAAUGUGUUGACGUUACUGAGUACUUGGAUGUCUAGCAGCAUGGUCCUGCUGUGGAGUUUCUGUAUGCUUGUGUGUCUAAUACACAAUUCCUACUUUUAUGGUGUCUCAAGGCAUUUAGUCAUUUUUUGAAGAAGGCAGCACUGGGAUGAAUUCUACAAUUUCCUUCACUGAUUUUUUUAUUAUCCUCAAUGGAAAUGACAACUUUGAACACAACAGUAAAGUAGGUUUACAAUUUGGAGAUUUUUUUUCUAUAGUGUAUUCAGCAUACUUCCAAUAUGUUUUCUUUAUUUCCUCUCCUUCCAGUCCAUUGAUUUUAAAAAUAUUUUUCUGUUAUAUGCGGAGUGCGAAACAGAUAGCAUUAGAAUUUUAGCUGAACUUUUAAAACUAUGCAGUUUGGAUUGGUAUUGUAUUUAACAAACCUAUCCUGUAUUUAAUUCAUUCCCAGCUGAAAUUUUUCUGAAGGGCAGAAAUGCUGGAUGCAGUGUGUUUGGAGACAAAUCAUCUGUAGAGCUCAGGCACCUUCCAUACCAAUUACUUCUACAGCUUCAAAUCCUUCACAUAUUAAUAACAGGUUGUUAGAACCAAAGUUAUUUCCAUUUGGAGUAUCUGGAAUGGUUUGUGAUAAAUGAGUGAUAAAUUAAUUUUUCACCAAAAUCUCCUCUUGAAUUUAGAAUCUUCAGCAGUCUCUCAGGAAUGCAAUUCAUCUUUGCAAAUUUCUGCUUGCUUUACAUGCUGUCAUCCUCUUUGUUUCUUGAGUAAACUCUGAAUGAAUAGCAGAAUAUCAAAAUACUAUCACGUUCUCAUCUUCAACAAAGCUCUCUUCUUUCUAGCUUUUGUUAUCUUUGACAUGAUCACAGAUAUCCUGUAUUAAUUCACAAGCAACUGUAUGCAGACAAGCAUCUGCAGUAAUGGAUUUCUGAACCUCCAAAUGAAUUUUCAUCAUUGAAAAAGAUCUGUCAGAAUCUUUCUCAUCAAGCAGCUGUAGUUCUUGCCUGUACAAAACCACGGACUUCUAAUUCAAAGACAAAAGUUUUAAGUCUGUUGUUUAUAGUCAUUUGUGCUGGGUUUUAUUCAGAAAUGUUCUGGGCUGGGAAGGCUGUGUGUGUGUGUGUGUGUACAUCAUAUAUGUAGAUAGAUUUUUUGAUUGGACUUGGUGACUAUAUGUGUGCAUAUGAAUAACAUUGAAUAACACAGUUUGAGUGUGAUAUGUUGCUCAUAGUCAUUCCUUUGCCUAAUGUUUUUAUUGUAGUAGUAGUAGUAGUAGUAGUAGUGAGAUCGAUGUGAAAUGAGUUAACCUUAAGAAACUUCUCUAUGAAAAUUCUCUGUGAAUGGAAGUCAAAUACCUUCUCUGUAUAUACAUCCAAAAAUUCAAGCACCUGGUUAUUGAAGAAAUAAAAAUGUA